AGGUCGUCUAAAAAAAAAAUACACUUGAAGGGAUAGUAGAAGGUAGUCUAAACACUGGACGACUUAAAUACACUGGACGACUUCGUAAAAGGUCGUCUAAAAAAAAUACACUUGAAGGGAUAGUAGAAGGUAGUCUAAUACACUGGACGACUUCGUAGAAGGUCGUCUAAAAAAAAUACACUUGAAGGGAUAGUAGAAGGUAGUCUAAUACACUGGACGACUUCGUAGAAGGUAGACGAAACACUGGACGACUUAGAAAUUAGUCGUCUGGACGGGUAAUCAAGACUGGACGACUUAUAUUUAGGUCGUCUGGACAACUAGUCAAC